AAAACUUCAUUGAUGAACGUGCUUACUUUCCGCAACAUCCGAUCUCUGGCUGUUUCUGGAGAUAUAAAAAUUAAUGACAGAGUCGUAAACAGAGAUCAGAUGAACGGCAUCUCCGCCUACCUCCAACAAGACGAUCUCUUCCUAGGGACACUGACUGUUAGAGAACACCUUCUGUUUAAGGCUUCACUGCAAAUGGACGUAGAUCAAAGAACAAGAGAAAGGAGAGUGGAACAAGUUUUGUUGGAGCUUGGAUUGUCCAAAUGCGCUGAUUCUAUCAUUGAUCGACCAUACACAAAUCAACGAAUUUCAGGAGGGGAAAGAAAACGUCUCUCAUUUGCGUCUGAGCUCCUGAUGAAUCCACCUCUGAUGUUCUGUGAUGAGCCUACAUCUGGUCUAGAUUCUUUCAUGGCAUCAAGCGUCAUACAGUGUUUGAAAAUGCUGGUGCAUAAAGGUCACACAGUUCUUUGUACAAUCCACCAACCGUCGUCAGAAGUGUUUGCUCUUUUUGAUGAAAUUUAUCUUCUAGCUGAAGGAAACUGUGUAUUUACCGGCUACACAAUGCAUGGAUUAGAUUUUUUUAGAAGUCAAGGGUAUCCAUGUCCAAUUAACUACAACCCCGGAGAUCACUUCAUUCUGACAUUGGCAAUGGUUCCUGGGCAUGAACAAACUUGUCACAGAAAAAUAGAGAAGUUCCGUAAAGAGUUUGAAAAACAGCAGACACAACAAGAACAUAAGAAAGACGUCAUUUCUUCAACAUCUAUGACGCAUCAAGUACUGCGUAGAAGAUACCAAGCUCCAUUGUUUGAGCAAUUUCGUUAUUUAUUAUGGAGGAGUUGGGUGACAAAUAUUCGCAAUCCAUACCUUGUAAUUCUCAAGUUUACUCAGGCAAUGUUGUUUGCUGUUAUCCUUGGAUUGUUCUACUUAAAGACGGACAACCAUUACACACAGGAUGACGUCAUGAAUAUUAACGGCUGUAUAUUCUUUGCUAUAGUAUCGUUAAGUCUAGAUAGCAUCUUUCCCAUAUUAAAUGUUUUUCCUAGCGAGGUCCCUAUUUUUGUGAGAGAGUAUGGAAGCAAAUUAUAUAGAGUGGACAUUUAUUACCUAUCUAAAAUUAUUGUGGAGAUUCCUAUACACAUAAUUAAUCCUGCUCUUUUCAUGACGAUUUUGUAUUGGAUGAGUGGUUUGGUAUAUGACAAAAUCCAAUAUCUGACAGCUAUAGGAAUAUCUGUUUUGGUUGCUAAUGCUGCUGCAGGAUUUGGUUACGUCAUUUCUGCGAGUGCGCCAUCCAUAACUGCAGCUCUUUCUUUGGCGCCAUUGUUACUAAUGCCGCUCAUGAUGAAUGGAGGAUUCUUCCUAAAUAAUAGAACCGUGCCUGUGUAUUUCCUAUGGAUAAAAUACUCGUCAUGGUUUAUGUACAGCAAUGAGUUGAUGAUUCUAAAUCAGUGGACCAAUGUUGACCAAAUAGGUUGCCAUAAAAAUUCAACAUGUCUUUCAAAUGGAAAACUAGUCACAGAAAGCUUAGGGUAUAAGAAGGACAACAUUCCUAUGGAUUGGAUAUGUUUAGCAGCGCUGACGAUUGCUUUUAGACUUCUUUCUUUCACAAUUUUAUUCAUUAAAGCCAAACUUUUGACAUAAUAAAAAAUCUCAACGUGU
rnacentral:misc_RNA from 1 species